UGUGAAGAAGAAGAGGCAAGAACGACCCCCAGACCGACCAAAGCCCGCAUGCCGCUCCAUCCCUGCGUCCAACACCUUAAUUCCGCUGCCAUCACCACCAUGCCCAAGAGAAAGGCUGAGGGGGAUGCUAAAGGAGAUAAAGCCAAGGUGACGGACGAACCCCAGAGAAGAUCUGCAAGGUUGUCUGCUAAACCUGCUCCUCCAAAGCCAGAGCCCAAGACUAAGAAGGCCCCAGCUAAGAAGGGAGAGAAGGUACUCAAAGGGAAAAAGGGAAAAGCCGAUGCUGGCAAGGAGGGGGAUAACCCUGCAGAAAAUGGAGAUACCAAAACAGACCAGGAACAGAAAGCUGAAGGUGCUGGAGAUGCCAAGUGAAGUGUGUGCAUUUUUGAUAACUGUGUACUUUUGGUGACUGUACAGUUUGAAAUACUAUUUUUUAUCAAGUUUUAUAAAAAUGCAGAAUUUUUUUUUUUUGAGCUAUGUUGUUAGCACACAGAACACUUCAUUGUUGUUUUGGGGGAAAGGGGCAUAUGUCACUAAUAGAAUGUCUCCAAAGCUGGACUGAUGUGGGGAAAACACCUUUCCCUUCUAGUUUUAAGA